GGGCCCGCACAAGCGGUGGAGCAUGUGGUUUAAUUCGAUGAUACGCGAGGAACCUUACCAGGGCUUAAAUGGGAGAUGACAGGGGCAGAGACGCCCUUUUCUUCGGACAUCUUUCAAGGUGCUGCAUGGUUGUCGUCAGCUCGUGCCGUGAGGUGUCAGGUUAAGUCCUAUAACGAGCGCAACCCCUACCGUUAGUUGCCAGCGAUUCAAGUCGGGGACUCUAACGGGACUGCCGGUGCAAACCGUGAGGAAGGUGGGGACGACGUCAAAUCAUCACGGCCCUUACGUCCUGGCUACACACGUGCUACAAUGGUCGGUACAGAGGGAAGCUACUAUGCGAAUAGGAG
rnacentral:rRNA from 1 species